AAUUUAGAACUUGAGUUCCAGUGUUAACACCACUUAACUUAUCAGAUGGCCAAUUUAAAACCCAGCCUGCUUCUUUGCUAUGAUAUCAUCUACAAUUCAUUAAUGGAAAAGACUCACCAUCACAUGGUCCUGCUUUAUGUAACCUGAAACCCUGUCUGGGGCCGACCAUCUAUUGUGGCUGAACUGCACCUCCCCACGGAGAGAAAAAAUGUUUUUUUCCUGAAAAGACAGAAAUAAGCAAUUUUAGUUUUAUUAUUAAACCACUCAACGUUUUUCUGUAA